rnacentral:lncRNA from 1 species
UCUCACUCUGUGGCCCAGGCUGGAGUGUGGUGGCACUAUCACAGUUCAUUACAGCCUCAACGUCUCGGACUCAGAUGAUCCUGCCACCUCAAUCUCCCAAGUAGUUGGGACCACAGCCAGACAUACACAUCAGGAUUUCCUGACAGGAACACUUGGUUGAUGUUGGCAGCUGAAGAAGCGAAAGCAUUUUCCUUGGUUGACAACCCUUGAAUCUGUGGACAAGUCACAUAAAUCUAAAAGUUUAUACUGUCCACAGUCCUUUCCUUUGGUCCUAAUAUCAGCGCCAACGUGGAUUCACAGCCAAAAGGAGUUCAUGAUGCAUCUCCCAUGGAAAGAGCUUAUACCUCAAACCCACAAGGCUCCCCUCUACAUUCACCACAUGGAGAACAGACCAGCCAAAACCUCUCAGGAGUAAGGAAAGCCAAAGGAGAAACCUCAGGAAGGGCUGGACUGGGCACAUUUGGUUUCCUUGAAGUCACUUAUUAGAUAACUAAGCUAACUCUUCCUCAUGACAGAGAAGAGUGGCUUGGGUCUCUCCCCGCAGGAAGACAUGGCCAGGGGAAUGAAGGUUCUUCCUCGACAGGUGUACUGGAGAUAUUCUACAUCAAUGUUUUAGAAUUCUGUUUGUAAAUAAUGCCAGUUGAAAAUGAUGGUUUUUUUGUGUGUAACUAGUACAAUCCAAAUCAGACAUUUAUUGAACUCUCACUGUGUGUAAAGGAAAAUACUUACCUCUGUAGGAUAGAGGAUAAAGAACUACUAAGAUAAGCACAUAAUGCUUCACAAAAGUACUAAAAAAAAAAUUAAAAAAGUAAAACUGUCACCUUAGAAUUCUGUAUUACAUGAAAAUAUAUUUAUUUUUAUUCAUUUAUUUGCUUGUUUUUGAGACAGGGUCUCCCUCUGUCACCCAGGCGGGAGUGCAGUGGAGCAAUCACAGAUCACUACAGCCUUGACCUCCCAGGCUCAAGUGAUCCUCCCACCUCAUUAUUGUACAUUUUUAAAUGUACAAUAGAUUAUUGUUGAACUGGAAUCCAGCUAGAAUCCAAUUUUUAGAAACUCACUCUAAGGUAAUGAUUAAAAUAUCAGGUGUUAGUUCUAUAAAUCUGUCAUCUAGAUUAAAAACCAGAUGCUUCCAUUCCAGGGUGGAGUAUUUGCCAGUAACUCUCUGGAGAUCUGUCUUAUCUGUGACCAAGACAACGAAGCUUAAAAAAAGGCAAUAAUGUUGGAAAAAGACAUGAAUAUGGUCUGUAUUAAAUUGAUUCUACUUUUUAUUUAGUCAUGACUCUGGACUAACUUUCAAAAAGUAAAAUGUUAUGCCAGCCUAGCAAAUGUUCAUAUCAAAUUCCUCAUUGUUUUCUCUACUCUCCUUUGUCCUGCCCUCCACUUUUGUUUGCUUGGUGAGGCUCACCCUAAAAUAUGUAAAAAUAUGUAAAAUAUGUAAAAAAAAAAUUUAAAAAGCAAUGAUGUUCUGUUGGAAGAAACAAAGGAAAGAAAUAAAAGUUGCAUUUAAAGGGUACAGAAAGAAAUGAUUUUCCUUUUCUGCUUCAAAUGGGAAAAAAAUGUGAUGAGACUUGAAAUAGUGUUUCCAUUUCAAGCCCUGGUGGCUUAUUUAACUUGGGUAGAUUAAUUUACUGUGGGUGGUAUCCUGUUUUAUCAUCCAUGGAGAGGUAAUUUUAAAAAUCUUUGACCUUGUCAGUUUGGGGGUCACUUCAGGUUGGAGGUGUUGUAUCUGUGAUGUCACCUUCAAUUUUCAGGAAUCUUUCUUGCCUCAAGAUGUUGACCUUGCAGAUCGCCAGUAUUUAUUGCUGGUAGUUUUCUAACUCCUACAAUUCCUCUAUCCCUUUGAAUCUCUCAUCCAUUUUUCCACUUGUAAAAUAUAUUUUCCAUUAAAGAGACCUUAUUUUUUAGAUAAUAAUAUAAAAAGAAAAGAGGGAUAAACUAAUAUUUAUUACACUUAUUGUGUGCUCAAUGAUGCCCUAGGCACUUGAUAUAUGAUCUCAUUUAACACUUACAACAAUCAAAUGUGUGAUAGUGUUCUCUUUUACAAAUCUGGGAAAGGUGGCUUUGCUAGCUAGGUGAGACAUCAUGCCCAAAG